rnacentral:rRNA from 1 species
UACAGGGGGUGCAAACGUUGCUCGGAAUCAUUGGGCGUAAAGCGCACGUAGGCGGUUCGUUAUGUCGGAUGUGAAAGCCCUUGGCUUAACCGAGGAAGUGCAUCCGAAACUGGCGAGCUAGAGUACGAAAGAGGAUCGCGGAAUUCCCGGUGUAGAGGUGAAAAUUCGUAGAUAUCGGGAGGAACGACCGGUGGCGAAGGCGGCGAUCUGGGUCGAUACUGACGCUGAGGUGCGAAAGCGUGGGGAGCAACAGGG